rnacentral:rRNA from 1 species
UACGGAGGAUCCGAGCGUUAUCCGGAAUCAUUGGGUUUAAAGGGUCCGUAGGCGGAUAGUUAAGUCAGCGGUGAAAGUCUGCAGCUCAACUGUAGAAUUGCCGUUGAUACUGGUUAUCUUGAAUCAAAUUGAAGUGGCUGGAAUAUGUGGUGUAGCGGUGAAAUGCAUAGAUAUCACAUGGAACACCUAUUGCGAAGGCAAGUCACUAAAUUUGCAUUGACGCUGAUGGACGAAAGCGUGGGGAGCAAACAGGA